rnacentral:rRNA from 1 species
GAUGAACGCUGGCGGCGUGCCUAAUACAUGCAAGUCGAGCGAACGGACGAGAAGCUUGCUUCUCUGAUGUUAGCGGCGGACAGGUGAGUAACACGUGGAUAACCUACCUAUAAGACUGGGAUAACUUCGGGAAACCGGAGCUAAUACCGGAUGAUAUUUUGAACCGCAUGGUUCAAAAGUGAAAGACGGUCUUGCUGUCACUUAUAGAUGGAUCCGCGCUGCAUUAGCUAGUUGGUAAGGUAACGGCUUACCAAGGCAACGAUGCAUAGCCGACCUGAGAGGGUGAUCGGCCACACUGGAACUGAGACACGGUCCAGACUCCUACGGGAGGCAGCAGUAGGGAAUCUUCCGCAAUGGGCGAAAGCCUGACGGAGCAACGCCGCGUGAGUGAUGAAGGUCUUCGGAUUGUAAAACUCUGUUAUUAGGGAAGAACAUAUGUGUAAGUAACUGUGCACAUCUUGACGGUACCUAAUCAGAAAGCCACGGCUAACUACGUG